rnacentral:rRNA from 1 species
UGCUUGGGAAUAUGCCUAGAGGUGGGGGACAACAGUUGGAAACGACUGCUAAUACCGCAUAAUGUCUACGGACCAAAGGAGGGGAUUCUUCGGAACCUUUCGCCUUUAGAUUAGCCCAAGUGAGAUUAGCUAGUUGGUAGGGUAAAGGCCUACCAAGGCGACGAUCUCUAGCUGGUUUGAGAGGAUGAUCAGCCACACUUGGGACUGAGACACGGCCCAGACUCCUACGGGAGCAGCAGUGGGGAAUAUUGCACAAUGGGGGAAACCCUGAUGCAGCCAUGCCGCGUGUGUGAAGAAGGC